rnacentral:tRNA from 1 species
CAUUAAGAAGCUAUGAACCCAAGCACUAGCCUUUUAAGCUAGAGAGAGAGGAAUAACUCCUCCUUAAUGA